AUUCUGGGUUAAAUUUUCAAAGUAGAUUGGAAAGUGGACUUACCUUAGGAAAUUCUGGUUUAGGUGACCCUGAUGCCUGCAUUAAAAACAACAGCAGCAACAACAACAACAACAACAACAACAUAGGUGAUUCUGAUGAUCACCAGGAUUGAAAACCACUGGACCAUUGCUUUGAGAGAUGGUGCCAUGGCCAGAGACAGAGGUCCACUAUCCAUUGGUUGAUAUCCAUUCUUCUGUGGAGAAUCCUGCUGGCCUUACCUGUAUGACCCUACUGGAUAUGAAUGAGAAAGAACAUAUUGAAAUUGAGAAAAGAAGAUUUACAUGAUGAAAUCAACUCUAAGGAAAGAAGUAGUCAGGAAACCUGUUGAAAGAAAAUGAAAGCAAUGUAUUUCAGCAAUUACUUAAAUCCUGCAAGAAGAUCAUGUUUGAUGGGUAAGUUUUCAGAAUGAAAAUCUCCAUUGACUAAAGUGAAACUCAAUGGCAAUUUUAAAUGUCUUAUCU
rnacentral:lncRNA from 1 species